AAAACUCAAUUAUGUUAUUUUAGUUUCAAGAUAUUUCGUAGAAGUUGAUACUGAAAAACAUGGCAUUCGUGUUUAAAUUUCUUAACUUAUAAACAAGCAAUAUUGAAAAGAACUGACUCUAACACAUUUAUUAUACAUGCACUUGCAUGCAUACAACCCAAAUUCCUAUCUAAAGGUUCUACUUCUUAUCAUCUGACUCACAACUGCAGUUCAUUAACAUAUAACUAAGUGCACAACUACAGUAGCAGUUACACCGGAACACAACAUCGAGAUACAUGUCACUACUUACAUACUAUGGAAAUGAUGGAUUAAACAAUGAAGGUAUUGUUAAUUUUGAAGAUAAAUGAAAAACAAAGAAAUGACAAGGACAAGUCUGCUGGUAUGUAUUUUAUACCAAGUACUGUCUCUCAUUGUCUCAAUAGACAUCAUUUACCAUGUCAAUGAAGAAGGCACUCCUCAAACCUAUAUAGGAGACAUUGCUAUUGACUCAAACUUAUCAUAUCCUCUUACACAUCAUCAGGACACUCUCAUUACAUUUACACAACUACAAAGGAAAGCGGCUAGUGGUUCUCACUUAUUCAAUGUCACCAACUCUGGGAAACUAUACACUACACAAACAUUGGAUACUGAGUCUUUGUGUACAUACAACAAAGAAUGUUUUAAAAUUGUUAAAGUUGCAGUGAGGAAGGCAGAAACAUUUAUCAAGGUUUUAAAGAUAAAAGUCAUCAUACAAGAUAUUAAUGAUCAUCAACCAGAGUUCCCAGAGGAUCUAAUUAAAAUAGAGUUUGGUGAAACGGAAGCAAAAGGAUCAACAAAAUCAAUACCAAAUGCUGUGGAUAAAGAUAUUGGUCGUCUUAAUUCAAAGAUCACAUAUAGACUCAAAGACAAAAGUAAGAAAUUCUCAUUAUCUAUAUCUAAUGAGUUUGAUGGAAUGAAUAUAUUGGAAAUUAUACUUGAAGAAAAAUUAGACAGAGAAUUAAAAGACAAAUACAUGUUACAGUUACUUGCAAAAGAUAGUGGCUCUCCACCAAAACAAGGUAUUCUGAACAUAGAAAUCUCUGUUACAGAUAUCAAUGAUAACAGACCUAUGUUUUCUCAAAAAACGUACAAUAUUUCUAUCAGUGAUACACAUCAUAUCACCACUCCUGUUUUUGUUUUAUCAGCUACAGAUUUAGAUUCUGGUCAAAAUGGUGACAUUACGUAUAACUUUCACCAAAAAACAAGGUCUGACAUUAAAACAAAUUUCAAACUGAAACCAAAUGGGGAGAUGUUCCUAAAUAAUAAUUUUUACAGAAAUAAGCAGCAAAUAUAUAAAUUAUAUAUUGAAGCAAAAGACAAAGGAAGACCAUCUUUAAGUUCUACUGCCAUGUUAAUUAUCAAUAUAAUUAGUAAUCAAAAUAAUGCUCCAGUUAUAGAUAUAGAUUUUGUAUCCCCUUUAACAGAGAAUUCUACAGCAAUUUCAGAAGCAAGUAAAAUUGGGAGUUUUAUAGCUUAUGUUAUGGUUACAGACACUGAUAGUGGACGUAAUGGACAAAUAAAAUGUAAUAUUCAUCAUAAGAUGUUCCAGCUUUCUAAUAUGGGUUCUAAAGAAUAUAAAAUAUUGGUGAAAGAACCUCUUGACAGAGAAACUAUAGACCAUUAUGUUGUUUCUAUUGUAUGUCAUGACAUGGGAUCACCUCCAUUAAAGACUAAGAAACAGUUCUCUGUCAAAGUAACUGAUGUCAAUGAUGUAGAACCACAUUUCACCAAAGAGACAUUCCAAUUCCUCACCUAUGAAAACCAGAAAGUUGACUUCCCUAUUGGCUUCAUCAAUGCUACAGACCCAGAUCUUGGAGAUGGAGGCCAACUUACAUAUUCUAUCAUCAAUGAUAACAACAAUGAUAACAUUCCUUUCCAACUGACAAAAUAUGGAUUUAUUUCUACAUCACAACCAAUAGAUCGAGAAGUGAAAGACAUCUAUAAUUUACAGGUAUUAGUCAAAGACAAUGGAACACCUUCUCUGAAUAACACUGCUAACAUUCUUAUAGAGAUUCUAGAUAAAAAUGACAAUGCACCAUAUUUUAUCUUUCCUAAUAAUGACCCUUACAAUCUCGAUGUCCACUACCAUCCGCACAGUAAGAAGGACAUCACAAUUCUGAGAGCAUCUGACAAAGACACUGGAAACAAUGCUUUCCUCACAUAUGGAAUACUGAGAUCCAAUGAUAAAAACCUGUUUACAGUGAACUCACACACUGGUGUGUUAUCUUUCUCUCGGACAGUUUACCAAAAUGAUGCAGGAACAUAUGAGCUGGAGUUUAUAGUGAAAGAUGGUGGUACAUCAGUUCAAUCAGUAACAACUGCUAUCAUACUAACACUGUUUGUUAGUAACGAUACAUCUCCAAUGUUGACUGCUGUCCACUCACAGUCUGGUAACAACCUGAAUAUGACUUGGAUUAUUAUCAUUGUAGCAGCAGCUGUAAUACUAUCUGUGGCUAUUGUAGUGUCAAUAACAAUGUGUGUUUUUAGAUGUAUUAACCACUUCAAUAACUCCCCUACACCAAAUGGUAAUCCAAAAUUUCUCUCUCAGACUGAAAUGAGGCAAAUAUUGUAUCAGACUAACAAUCCUGUUGCAAUAACUCGAAAUGCAGAAGACAUAUUUAACAGAAAUCUUCAAUCAAUAAACCCAAAAUGCUCUUAUUACUCAGACAUGAAGCAGUCAGCUAAUGAAUGGAAAUUCUCAACUACCCCCAGAAAAUUACCUCCAGUCCCAAUGCAUUGCAAUGAGGAUGAAACAAUGACUUCAACUGAACAAAAAUGUUAUAGCAGUGGUAUUAUGACAUCAAACAAUCUGAAUGAUACAUUAUCUUCUCAUAAAGAACGGAAAUGUGGUUGGAGUGAUGGGGAUAUUACACAUCAAACAUCUGGAGCAUCAGAAUACGGCAACUACCGACCAAACAUACUCCCUACCCCAAAGACUGUACAAGAGCAAGAAACGUAUCUGGAGCCAGUAUAAUGCAAACACAGUAACAUCAGAUUUACUUUUUAGUAACCAAAGAAUCAACUCCUUAAAUAAUCCAAUAGUGUAUUAAUAACAUUCCAUAUAGCACUGUUUUCAAUUUAUCUUUUAUUGAAAACUCUUUAACAAAUACUUAAGUUAUAAUUUUCUAAUGAAGGUCAUAGGGCUGAUGCUAAUUUUGGUGAGGUUUUCACUACUUUUUAAUUAUGUAGAUAUUUCCAGUAUUAGAAUUUAUAUUAUACAUUGAUAAUACUACUAGAUUUCAGCAAAGCUAUAUUUUGAUAAAUAAAAAUAAAUGGCUGUAUAUAGUUAAGAGUCCAAAUCUGCAGCAACUCUUUUCUUGAAACUGGAAUACAAGUAUCCUAAGACAAGGUACUUAACUCUUCUAGAGCUUCAACUACUGAAAUAGUAUGCAGUCUUUAGGUUCUGAGUUCAAAUUCCACCGAGGUUGACUUUACCUUUCAUGGUUGAUAAAUUAAGUACCAGUUGCAUACUGGGUCGAUCAAAUCGAGUGGCCCUCCCAAAAUUUUUGGGCCUUGUGCCUAGAAUAGAAAAGAAUAUAUAUUUUCUUUUGAUGGCAUUUUUCCUGUCAGGAGCAAAACAUGACUUUCUGUACACACAUACACACACACACACACACACACACAUAUAUUCUUCCCUCUGACAGCUGAAUUUCUACAUUUUCAAACUCUACACCACCUCUGUAAUUAAAACUGAGAUUUCCCUCUAAGAAGAUAAUGCCUAAGCAUGGCACUAAAAUAAACUGUCAAAAAAAUCAUAGAAUCAAGCUCAAUAAUUCUAAAACUAUAGACAUAAUAAUUUUUUACAUGAGAAUUAUAGAAGGCACUCUUUAUAUAAAAGUAGAUGAGUAGAUAUGCCUUUUGCAAAGAUAUUGAUAAAGAAAAGGAAAAUGAAUCUACAACAUUCUUGUCUUAACAUUAAAAUUAUCUUUCAAAUAUAGCAUUUUAUCUAAAUAGCAUUGCACUUAUUUAUUAUUGUAUAGGUUUUGUUGGUAGAAAUGUUAAUGUAUCAAAUGUAUUUAGCCUUAUUACAAACGAAAUAUUAAAAGCAAUCCCAAAUACACAUACCACACAAUCAUUUACAUAUUAAAUACAUUUUAAAAAACAUUUUAAAUGCAUUUAUGAAUUUACAUUUCAAUGGAACUAUUUUUUGAAAUAUGACUGCAAUUUGUGAACAGCGGCAGCAGAUUCAGAAGAAGACUCCUAUGAGAUACAUGUUUUUCUUCAUUUAGGACAACAACAAAGGAUUAAACAAUGAAGCAUUAAGAUAAGAACGUGGCAAUGAGUCCUGCUGAUCAAAAAUGUUAUGGUAGUAUUGAAACAUCAAACAACCUUAGUGAGACGUUACCCUGGAACAAAGAAUGGAACUAUGUCUGGAAUAAAGGAGACAUUACAAUUCAAGCAAUGGGAGCAUCAG